rnacentral:rRNA from 1 species
UCCCAUACCGAACACGGAAGUUAAGACCUUCAGGGCCAAGAAUACUUGGGGCGCAGGCCCCUGGGAACGUAGGUCAUCGCCAGGU